CGGAAGGUGUAGACUGGGGAGCUCGUCCUAACCUGUUAACGCAAAUGGACGUUAUGGCGUAGUCGAAGCCUGAGGGCGGUUUCAAGGAUUUGUAAAGUCCUUUUAGUCAACUGCGAAGCCUCGUCCUAUAGAGUCGGUAUUUUAGUGAACUGGUUGAGACCGGGAACGGAGCAGACCUAAGCUAUGGUAUUGGCGUUUAUGGGGUCGCGAAGUGGAGGAGAUUAAUUGGAUUAACUUUGCAGGUUUUUGUUGCCCACCGAUGGUGGACCUUCUG
rnacentral:SRP_RNA from 1 species